CAGAGGACCCAGGAAGGGGUUUCCUGCCUCCAAUCUUGUUCUUCAGCAACCUGUGGUCCCCUAGCAUGGGUACCAAAAAGGUCAGGGUGGGGACUCAGCGGCCCACCCACCAUGCCCUACCACACCCCACACCAUCUCAGGAGGAAGGACAGGACGCCUGUGAGAGACUCAGGAACCCAGACGGACAUGCCAGCCCUUCCUGAUGGUUGGAGUGACAGCGAUCCCUGAAGCCCUCCUGGAGGCCGGGGCAUCUUUGGCGGGGAGAAGGAGCCGAUGGGAAGGGGUCUGUACCGCGGGCGUGAGAGGACUCCGCAGUGACACGACCCGUAGCGAAGGUGCAAGAAAUCCCAGAGGCGUAGAGCCCGGCGUUCG
rnacentral:lncRNA from 1 species